AUUGAACGCUGGCGGCAGGCCUAACACAUGCAAGUCGAACGGCGCGGCGGACGGGGGAGUAAGGCCUAGGAAGCUGCAUGGUAGUGGGGGAUAACGUCCGGGAGCGGGCGCUAAUACCGCAUACUAUCAGAUGAGCCUAGGUCGGAUUAGCUAGUUGGUGGGGUAACGGCCUACCAAGGCGACGAUCCGUAACUGGUCUGAGAGGGUGAUCAGUCACACUGGAACUGAGACACGGUCCAGACUCCUACGGGAGGCAGCAGUGGGGAAUCUUCGACAAUGGACGAAAGCCUGAUCCAGCCAUGCCGCGUGUGUGAAGAAGGUCUUCGGAUUGUAAAGCACUGUUAGUUGGGAGGCGGUACCUGCAGAGGAAGCACCGGCUAACUCCGUGCCAGCAGCCGCGGUAAUUC
rnacentral:rRNA from 1 species